rnacentral:tRNA from 1 species
GCCGAAGUGGUGGAAUUGGUAGACACGCAUGGUUCAGGACCAUGUGCCUUCACGGGCGUGGAAGUUCGAGUCUUCUCUUCGGCACCA